CACGUAGGGGGCGAGCGUUGUCCGGAUUUAUUGGGCGUAAAGAGCUCGUAGGCGGCUCGGUAAGUCGGGUGUGAAACCUCCAGGCUCAACCUGGAGACGCCACCUGAUACUGCUGUGGCUAGAGUCCGGUAGGGGAGUGUGGAACUCCUGGUGUAGCGGUGAAAUGCGCAGAUAUCAGGAAGAACACCAGCGGCGAAGGCGGCACUCUGGGCCGGAACUGACGCUGAGGAGCGAAAGCGUGGGUAGGCAAACAGG
rnacentral:rRNA from 1 species